rnacentral:rRNA from 1 species
UACGAAGGGUGCAAACGUUGCUCGGAAUUAUUGGGCGUAAAGCGCACGUAGGCGGCUUGGCAAGUCGGAUGUGAAUCCCUCGGCUCAACCAAGGAAGUGCAUCCGAAACUGCCGAGCUUGAGUACUUAAGAGGAUCGCGGAAUUCCCGGUGUAGAGGUGAAAUUCGUAGAUAUCGGGAGGAACACCAGUGGCGAAGGCGGCGAUCUGGGAAGAUACUGACGCUGAGGUGCGAAAGCGUGGGGAGCAACAGG